rnacentral:rRNA from 1 species
UACGAAGGGGGCUAGCGUUGCUCGGAAUUACUGGGCGUAAAGCGCACGUAGGCGGCUUCUUAAGUCGGUGGUGAAAUCCUGGAGCUCAACUCCAGAACUGCCUUCGAUACUGGGAGCUCGAGUCCGGGAGAGGUGAGUGGAACUGCGAGUGUAGAGGUGAAAUUCGUAGAUAUUCGCAAGAACACCAGUGGCGAAGGCGGCUCACUGGCCCGGUACUGACGCUGAG